rnacentral:rRNA from 1 species
AACGAACGCUGGCGGCAUGCCUAACACAUGCAAGUCGAACGAGACCUUCGGGUCUAGUGGCGCACGGGUGCGUAACGCGUGGGAAUCUGCCCUUGGGUUCGGAAUAACAGCGAGAAAUUGCUGCUAAUACCGGAUGAUGACGUAAGUCCAAAGAUUUAUCGCCCAAGGAUGAGCCCGCGUAGGAUUAGCUAGUUGGUGAGGUAAAGGCUCACCAAGGCGACGAUCCUUAGCUGGUCUGAGAGGAUGAUCAGCCACACUGGGACUGAGACACGGCCCAGACUCCUACGGGAGGCAGCAGUGGGGAAUAUUGGACAAUGGGCGAAAGCCUGAUCCAGCAAUGCCGCGUGAGUGAUGAAGGCCUUAGGGUUGUAAAGCUCUUUUACCCGGGAUGAUAAUGACAGUACC